rnacentral:rRNA from 1 species
UACGUAGGGAGCGAGCGUUGUCCGGAUUUAUUGGGCGUAAAGAGCUCGUAGGCGGUUUGGCAAGUCGGAUGUGAAAGCUCCCGGCUCAACUGGGAGAGGUCCGCGGAAACGGUCGGGCUGGAGCAAGGUAGGGGGUCGUGGAAUUCCCGGUGUAGUGGUGGAAUGCGUAGAGAUCGGGAGGAAUACCGGUGGCGAAGGCGGCAUCCUGGACCAUUACUGACACUGAACCGCGAAAGCUAGGGGAGCAAACGGG